GGCUGGUCCAAAGGUAGUGAGUUAUCUCACUUGAUUGUUCACAGUCACAGAUUGAAUUCCUUGUUCUACUACUUGCCCCCCUUCUCAUACUGCAAUCAACUAGUCUUAA
rnacentral:Y_RNA from 1 species